rnacentral:rRNA from 1 species
GACGAACGCUGGCGGCAGGCCUAACACAUGCAAGUCGAGCGAAGCCUUCGGGCUUAGCGGCGGACGGGUGAGUAACGCGUGGGAACGUGCCCUUUGGUACGGAAUAGCCCCGGGAAACUGGGAGUAAUACCGUAUGUGGUCGAGAGACGAAAGAUUUAUCGCCAAAGGAUCGGCCCGCGUUGGAUUAGGUCGUUGGUGGGGUAAUGGCCUACCAAGCCUACGAUCCAUAGCUGGUUUGCGAGGUGGAUCAGCCACACUGGGACUGAGACACGGCCCAGACUCCUACGGGAGGCAGCAGUGGGGAAUCUUAGACAAUGGGGGAAACCCUGAUCUAGCCAUGCAGCGUGAUCGAUGAAGGCCUUAGGGUUGUAAAGAUCUUUCAGUGGGGAAGAUAAUGACUGUACCCACAGAAGAAGCCCCGGCUAACUCCGUGCCAGCCGCCGCCGUAAAAC